CACAUUCUCUCUCUCACUCUCUCACUCUCCCCCUAGUUGGCUGGCCAUCUUCUUUACUAGAGAUAAAAGAAGACUGAAAAACAAAAAAAACAAAAUGGGUAAAGCUUUACUGAUUGUUGUUCAUGUUUGUUUGGUCUUAGCCGGCUGCAGCUUCACUGUGUAUGGUGAACAGGUUUACACUGAGAGUUCCAUGGCUAUGCCACCAUCACACUACCACACGAUAACCCCGGCAACGGCACCAAGCCCCCACCAUCACCACCACCACCACCACAGCCACCCUCCUACUGCCCCACCGGCUCACGCCCCAAGCCACCACCAUCAUCACCACCACCCCCACCCGCCGGCUCAUGCACCGGCUCACACUCCCGCUCAUGCACCUGCUCACCCACCUUCACACGUUGCUCCUGCCCACCCACCUCCACCACACGUUGCUCCUGCUCACCCACCUCCACCGCACGUUGCUCCUGCUCACCCACCUCCACCGCACGUUGCUCCUGCUCACCCACCCACACCCACCCAUCGUUUCCCUAGGAGCCUUGUUGAAGUUCAAGGCGUCGUUUAUUGCAAGUCUUGCAAGUACGCCGGAGCUGAUACCCUCCUAGGAGCUACCGCUGUUCUCGGUCAGUUUCGAACUCUUUCAAUUUAACUUUCCCUGCUUCUAACUUUUACAUACUUCGUUUUUUCUAUCAUUAUUACUUCAAUUAAUUUCACAUGUAUGUUUAGUUAUACAUCAUGCAUACAUAACAUACGUAUGGAUGCGAAUGUGCAUUUGUUUUCAUGGAUGCGGUAUGUAUACAUUUCCAGAUUUUGAAUGGAGAGAGAGAGAGAGAGAGAGGUGCUCUUGAUCUCUUUCUUUCUCUUUGUUCUAGGUUUAUGUCACAUUCAGUAGGAGGCAUGGUUAUGGCAGCAUAGCUAGCUACUUUUUCCUUUUUCAAGCUCUCUUUUUUAAGUCCUAGUAUUUAAAUUUUUAUUUAUUCUUUUAAUAUUGCCCAUGGGUUCAAUCAAGCUGAAAAAACAAAUCUUGCUUUACUCAUUCUCAAGCCACAAGAGUAUUGAGUUAAAAAAGAAAAAGAAAAAAUGACCAC
rnacentral:lncRNA from 1 species